GGAAAUUGCUGGCAGUUGGAGGCAGGGGAUCUGUCACUCGCGGCGAGCGCGGCCGGCGGCCAGGGCGCAAAGUUGAGAGCAGUCUCUAGUCUGAGUCUUUGAGUCUUUCAGUCGCCCUCCAGUAUCAUCAGUACCAAGGACUCCACCUUGCUGCGGCCCCUCAGCAACCCAGUGCACCUGCCACUCUACCAGAGGGAAACCAGUCAGGAGUGGGAGGCCUCUGAACAAGCUGUAUUCUGUGUAGCUGCCAGCUUCCAUCUUUCUCCAGGCAGAACGCUGGCCCUUAGCACAUCUUUCUGCUUCCCCUCGGUCAGACCACCGAGAACUGCUGCUGUCCUGUCUGCCUCCUCCUGUUUUGGUACUAGACCCCAGAUGAGGAUCUCGGGAAGAUCCACAAAGCUGCGUCCAGGGGAACGAACGUGUGGAAGCUGCAGCGGAGCCUCCUGCUCAAGAGUAAAGGACCGGUCUGAAACCUACAAGAACAGGUUCUCACAGUAGACGAGGAGCCUGUUUUUCAG
rnacentral:lncRNA from 1 species